UGUAGGAGAGGAGGUGGGGGGGUAAAAGUACUAAGAGGAGGAGCACCUCUCUUUUCCUCACUCUCAGUCUAAGUUGUGGGCAGAAGGGAGAGGAUGCUCCCUCACGUUGUGGACGGGAUCACCUCACCUGGACUCGGCCAUGCCAACACACAGGGCCGUGCACGAGCCUUGGGUGAGCUGGCUGGGUUUCCAGUAAUUUGGAGACCAUGGACUCUUACUGGAAGAGACCCUCAGCCUGAAAAGACAGCGACCGGACCAAACAGACAGGCCUCAAAGGACAUGCAAGGUUUUCAUCACCCAGUGAGGUGGGUGUUGUGUUGACUUCUACUUGUCUAAAAGAUAAUGACAAAUCUGCCUUGUAGGUAGACCAAAAUAUUGUAAAUAUACAUUUUAAAUACGUUUAUACGUGUACAUUAUACGUUUACUAUAAGAAA